rnacentral:miRNA from 1 species
UGAGAGACCGCAUACAGCUUUGAAA